CACUAAGAAGCUAUAAGUUCAGCGACAGCCUUUUAAGCUGUAGAUAGGUGACUACGCCCACCCUUAAUGA
rnacentral:tRNA from 2 species